rnacentral:hammerhead_ribozyme from 1 species
AUCCAACUGACGAGUCCAAAAUAGGACGAAACGCGCGUCCUCGAU